UAUCUUAAUGAUCUCUUUCCUAUUGAUCACCCUUUGAUCCUUGUAGAUACUCGGCAAUCUAACACAGAAUCACAGUGCGACUCUUUCUUGUUGAGCACUCUCACCCAAGAAAGUAGCCACCAGUUUCUAGCUGGCUUUCUAUCAACCCUUUGAUCCUUGUAGACACUCAGCAGUCUAACACAAAAUCAAAGUACGACUCUUUCUUGUUGAGACCUCUCACCCAAGAAAGUAGCCACCAGUUUCUAGCUGGAUUUCUAGCGUUCGUUUCGUUUCAAAGUAUUGUUACAGACAGAUUAACAAAAGUACAAAAAGCAGUCUUCAAUCUUGAUCAGUGUUCUUCUCACGAAUCUGGAUAUUCAAGGAUUGUUCAUG
rnacentral:lncRNA from 1 species